rnacentral:rRNA from 1 species
CCUACGGGAGGCAGCAGUGGGGAAUAUUGGACAAUGGGCGAAAGCCUGAUCCAGCCAUGCCGCGUGUGUGAAGAAGGCCUUCGGGUUGUAAAGCACUUUCAGUGGGGAAGAAAGCCUUGGGGCUAAUACCCUCGAGGAAGGACAUCACCCACAGAAGAAGCACCGGCUAACUCCGUGCCAGCAGCCGCGGUAAUACGGAGGGUGCGAGCGUUAAUCGGAAUUACUUGGCGUAAAGCGCGCGUAGGCGGUCUGAUAAGCCGGUUGUGAAAGCCCCGGGCUCAACCUGGGAACGGCAUCCGGAACUGUCAGGCUAGAGUGCAGGAGAGGAAGGUAGAAUUCCCGGUGUAGCGGUGAAAUGCGUAGAGAUCGGGAGGAAUACCAGUGGCGAAGGCGGCCUUCUGGACUGACACUGACGCUGAGGUGCGAAAGCGUGGGUAGCAAACAGGAUUAGAUACCCGAGUAGUC